rnacentral:rRNA from 1 species
AUGGCCGCGCUGGCCCGCGCCUCGCUCCUCCGAUCCGCCGUUCGACGGCUCCGGGCCUUCUCCGCGGCCGCCGCCGAGGGCGCCGCGCCCCGCCGCGACGCGAGGGCGGCCGAUGCCGCCACGGUGGCGGCCGCGCUGGCUGUCGGGUCGGGGCUGGGGAUCUGGCUGCUCCCCCCGUCGCCGCAGCCGCUCGCGGACUCGGGCCAGGGGGACUUCGCCGUGGCGGACGCGGGCUUUGGGGACGUGGGCGCCGCGGAGGAGCGCGAGGAGGAGAAGCGCAGGUUCCUCUUCCGCGACUCAUAUCGCAGAAGGGUGUUCUUCAACUAUGAGAAGCGCAUUCGGACGCGCAGCCCUCCUGAGAAGAUCUUUGAGUACUUUGCGUCCAUCCGAAACCCGGAGGGCGAAGUCUACAUGUUACCUGCCGACUUGAUGAGGGCUGUUGUUCCCGUUUUCCCUCCAUCCGAAUCUAAUAUUGUAAGGGAAGGAAGACUCAGAGGGGAGCGCAACCCUGGCGAGCUACAGUGCGCUCCUUCUGAGUUUUUCAUGCUGUUCGACACAAACGGCGAUGGGCUCAUAUCCUUUGCCGAGUAUAUCUUUUUUGUGACAUUGCUUAGCAUUCCUGAGUCGAGCUUCAAUAUAGCUUUCAAGAUGUUUGACCUUGACCACAAUGGGGAGAUAGAUAAAGAAGAGUUUAAGAAAGUAAUGGCUUUGAUGAGGUCCUAUAAUAGGCAAGGAGCUGCCCACAGGGAUGGGUUACGUAUUGGACUUAAGGUUGGUCAGCCAGUGGAAGAUGGUGGAUUGGUUGAGUACUUUUUUGGCAAGGAUGGCAGUGACCAUCUACACUAUGAAAAGUUCUCUGAUUUUUUGAAGCAAUUACAUGACGAGAUUGUUCGCUUGGAGUUCAGUCACUAUGAUGUAAAAUCAUCCAAGACAAUAUCUGCGAAGGACUUUGCAUUAUCCAUGGUUGCUUCUGCUGACAUGAAUCACAUAAACAAGCUACUUGACAGAGUUGACGAUUUUGAUGAAUCUCCUGAUGUCAAAGAUCUGCGCAUUACCUUUGAGGAGUUCAAGGCUUUUGCUGAUCUGCGGCGAAGAUUGGAACCAUUUGCAAUGGCUAUCUUCAGCUAUGGAAAAGUAAACGGUUUGUUGACAAAGCAGGAUCUGAAACGUGCUGCAACUCAUGUUUGUGGGGUGGACUUGACUGAUAAGGUGGUGGAUGUCAUUUUCCAUGUGUUUGAUGCAAACUGUGAUGGGAACCUAAGCUCAGAGGAGUUCUUGAGGGCACUACAAAGACGGGAAAGCAAUAUUCGGCAGCCCACCACUCCAGGUUUAAUGGGGGUAUUCUCCUGCUGGCUGAACUGUACGAAGUGUUCUUUUCAACAGAUGCUGCUUCAGUAG